CGGGCAGUAGCGCAGCUUGGUAGCGCGCUUCGUUCGGGACGAAGAGGUCGUGGGUUCAAAUCCCGCCUGCCCGA
rnacentral:tRNA from 1 species